UUCGGUAUUGUCUGGUGCGUUUUACAAGCAUACUUAUUUUUAAUUCAUUGAAAAUUGUUGAAUUGAUUUGUUUAAUGAAAGUAAAAAGAAGCUAAGAGAAAGGAAACCCUUCCAAAUUGAUAAAGGGCAUCUUCAUUAGCAUCAAUUGUAAGUUCUGGAGUGAAAAACGCUUCGCAAAUAGCGGCAAAAGUUGGCAAAAACGGUGACCAGACAAACAACAUACAUAAAACGGCAAAGUUAUAGAAGAGGGAAAAGGCAACGGCAGCAGCAGUAGCAAAUAAACAGGAAAUAUUCGACUCGCCAAUCUCGCCAAGCAAAGUCAACCGUGGAGGAGUCAACCAACAAACAACGAAUAACUUAGAGUAAGGCUCGGCUUGGUUACGUACUUAUUUCGCAGCAAAACGAUUAAGGGAAAAGCAAAUUCCCAUAGAUUGAGCCUCAUUUUUGAAAAAAACCAAAAAGUCGCUUUGUGGCUUGGAAUCCCUUUGCUCAUUAAGGAGCAUUUCAAGAUCAACCAACUCUCUACAGUUCUGAGCAAGGCAAGUUGCACUCGGCACAAGUUGAAAGAAGAAUAGAAACCACAACGCAUAGGCGGAGAUCUCUACACCACACUCAAGCAUAAUUGCCACAUUUUACACAAAAAGGCAAAAAAUUGCGAUUUAAUGCAAACCCAAAACCCUUCUAUAGAAGAGCCAGUUAGCCAGCAAUAAGAAGUGCUGCAGCAUUACACUACGAUCGCCGCGGACUUAUAUAAUCGAAACAGGGGCGGCAGUAGCCGGCCGGACUAAUGGUUAGGCGAUUUUUGUAGCUGCUGCCGCGAUUUAUGCUAAAAAGACCACAAUGGAUUCGCACGCUUUGGGCAGAAAUGAUUUCGAAUCUAUGACCUUUAAUAGGCUUGAUGAAGCUGGCGUAGAUGUAGAUUCCCAACAUAAAGGUCAAGAGUACCCAGAAGUUAGCCAGCAUCAGGCCUUGCAACAUAAUGGUGAUAACAAUGAAAAACCCUUAGAAGUAGCUUAUCCUUCCACGAUGGCAGAAGAUUGCAAUAAUGGAAACGAAACUGCCAUGCAAUCUGAAUUAUCCUUAAAGAUGGAUCACAAAAUUGCUGAAGUCCGUUACCAAUUACAACCCAAUUUUAAUAUUGAACGUGAUAAGCGUAUUCCACUCAUAGUACAGGAGGAUAGUGGCCUCAUUAAGAAAAUAAAAAUAUCGACAGCCCAAAAGUUGGUGCAAAGUUUUGCUCAAAGUGUCGAAUCAUCCACACCGAAAAGUGUUAAAGCUUUACUCUCGGAAGACAAAUCGCCCCUGCAGCAACGAAGCAGCACCCCAUUAUCACGAGAGUUUAUGGCUUUGCAAAAAACCCAAAAUGAAUCCAAGAUUAUAAAGAAAUUCGUAACCGAUGCCAUGAUCGAAAAGACUCGCAAAGCAAAGGUUAAAGAUCAAAAUAACAGUUUUGGCCAACAAACAUCGACAACUUCACCUGAGGACCAUUCCUAUACUACAUUUCCUCGUCAGCGCAACAAUAAUCACAACAACGCGUCUAUUUAUACUGAAGAUGCUGACGGUGAAAUGGAGGGUGUUGGCCAGACAAAACGCCUGCGGAAAAAAAGAUUUGUGCCCCUUAAAAAUGAGGAGAGUCAGCAGCGUCCACGCACAAAAAGCAUGCACGACAGUGACUACAGUGAUAAUAGCAACUCUUCGUUUUCCCAGCACGUUUACAAAAAGUGGCCCUCGGAAGAAUUGCUGGCCAAUGCAGCGAGCAAACGCACCAAUAUGCGUUCGGAAAAUUCACAAUUUGUGCAGAAGCAUAAAGAAUUUUUGCAACAUGUCAUUAACUCUACCAAGGAUACACCCUUGCGACGAUCGCAAUCACAUUCAGCCGAUUCUAUGGGAAAUUUAAGUCAUUCCGGCAAUUUGAAUCAUAGCAAAUACAAAAGUCGCUCUUGUAAACGUUUAGCUGCGGAAUUCGAUACAGACGAUGAAAAAGAUAUGCUGGAAUAUAGUGUCAGAACACGUUCACUUUCCCAUACGUCAGGUAACAAUUCUGGCGUGGAAUCUAACACUGAUCAUACAAAGCGCAGCCGAUCCAAGGAGAGAUUUAGGAAACGUAAAAAAUCGGAUGCCAGUGAAGAUGAUGAUAAAUCCGCAAAGCUUUCUCAGACUUUAGGAAUGGAAUGUUCAACUACCACCGAAGAACGCGAUGAUUUGAGUUUGUUGAACAGCAGUAAUAAUUCAGUAAUGAUAGCUAACAAUUCGAUGGAUGUGACUACCACUUCGGUGGAAAAUUCAGACCAUAUGGCUAAUAAUUUAAGAAAUAUGUGGUUACCACCACCCAAGCCCGGUUCGGAUAGUUUCUGUUGGAAGUGCCAUGAAGCCAAUGUGAAUAUAGCAUGUUCCAAAUGCAUACGCAGUUUUCAUGGGGCAUGUGCCAAGGUUAAAGACGAUGGCAUAUGGAUUUGUCCGGACUGUACCACUGUGGAUAAUAUAUUGAAUAGUACGAAAAAGUCGCGACGCAAUGAAUUAGCUGGGGACUUAUUGAGUCAAUUGCUCACCUACGCUUUAGCACGUAUGCGGCACAGCAAAGGGACCUAUCCGCCAGAAAUGCCCUAUGCCAAAGUCAGCAGAUGCCGAGAUCUUAUUGUGAAUCCAGUGAGUUUUGCAACUCUUGAGGAAAAAAUCAAUUCAAAGGAAUAUCGUUGCACUGAGGAAUUCGUUAACGAUACAAAAUGGAUGGUACACAAUGCCCAUAUUUUGCCAAACAAAAAUAAACUGACUUUGGCUACUAAAAAUAUUUUGAAAAUAUGUCGUCAGGAAAUUAACGAAAUCGAUACCUGCCCCGAGUGUUAUCUAAAUGCAAACAGCCGCACCGAUUGGUUCCUGGAAGUCUGUUCACAUCCUCACCUUUUGUUGUGGGCUAAAUUGAAGGGCUUUCCCUAUUGGCCCGCCAAGGCAAUGAGCUUUAGCCAAAACUCAUCGGUUAAUGUUCGUUUCUUUGGACAACAUGAUCGGGCAUUUGUAUCGGCCAAGGAUUGCUUUCUCUAUUCUCAGCAAGAUCCAAAUACACAAACUGGCAAAAGGGCAGCCAGGGAAUUGGCCGAUUGUAUGAAAGAGGUGGAGCUACAUAUCGAGAAGAUUAAAAACAAAGUGGGUGGCUUUAGAUAUGCCCCCUUUAAGACCCCCUAUGAUCCGGGCGAUGAAAUGAGACAGUUGGAGGAGAUGAUGCCGGGCGUACGGGAUUUCAUUGAAAAACAACAGGCUGUAAUUACGAAGCCUUCGUUGCAGUUUAAAAUCUAUAAAACAGCCGAUAACAAUUUGUCCAUAGUACAAAAGGCUUCUAGCACUCCAGAUCUGAGUGCAAGUCAUCAGCAGCCGUUACAGACGUUGCUGCAAGAUGCAGACUCAGAUUUGCAUAAUGCAUCAUCGGCAAAGAAAAAGAAAUUGUCAUCUGCCUGCGAGGAGGAAAAGAAAGUCGAGGAAAAUGCAACCGUGACAUUGUCCUCGGCUAAGUACGAAGUAAUAAAAAAAGUAACUUCGGACGAUAGUAACUCCUCGAAGCUGAGCACAGUCAUAUUGAAACGCAAGUCGGCGAAUGGCGGCGAAGUCAAGAGGAAUCCAGAAGACGAGCAAGUGGAAAUUCCAUUGCCCAAAAUUCAAAAAACCGAUGAAACCCAUGGGGGAGAGGAUUUCGAGAGGAAUGCAACAAUUAAAUGUACACCGGAAAGGGUCCUUCUGGAAAAGUCCAAGAGUAAACAUGGUAAACCAGAGGCAAGAUUCCCUGUGUUGACUAUUAAGCCACCCAAGGAUAUGAAAACUACAUCAAAUGAGUCUCCAAAGCCUUUGAAAAUUGUUAUCACCGGAGUGAUGGAAAAAGAAGGGGGGGCAUCCACCUCUACAACGAAGCCAUUAUCACAAAAACAGAAUGAAUCGUCUUCUCAAGCCCAACAGGCUGUGGAAAAUCUUGUUAAAAAUAAACAAGGAGUAACCAUUAAGAAGAUUCUCAGAGAUGCUACAGUUGUAACAACAUGCAACAACGGGCCCAACACCUCCACCACGGCAAUUCAAAUUGGCAAAAAUACAACCAACAACAGUGAGGUAAGCGCAAAUAAAGCCCAGCCUAGCAAACCAAUUGAGAAAGCGCAGGAAGCUGCCCCUAAAAAAACAGCGGAUGAGGAUCAACAAAUAACAAGUGCCCUAAAAGGUCUGGUUCCAUUUGUGGAAAUCAAAAAGGAAGUUUUAUCCGACAAUGAAGAGGAAUUUUCUAAAGAACCCCCCAAGACGACAAUAGAAGACAGCAAUACAUGCACAGCUGAAGCGAUUGUGGAACAACCGGAAGCAACAGCUGCUCUUGUAGGGAAUAGUAGACCAAGUUCUGUGGCGCUUACAUUAUCUAGUAACAAUUCUCCUCCAAAAAUAACCGACUCCAACCCCCUGCCCACCACUCUCAUAACACAAGUCAAAGACGAAAUAUUUUCCGAUGAAGGAGAGCCAGCCACAGCAGCGGAAGAGCAAAUUGGAGAUACCCUUAAGCAAAUGCCCUCUCCUCGCCCACCCUCAGGCAGUGGCUUCAAGAAUACUGCAGCAGAAAUUCGAGUUGUAGGCGGCACUACAAUACAGAAAAUUUCCAAUAAAAAUACCCCCCCACCACAAGGCAACAAUGUCCAUACCAGCAAAAGAACUAUGCUCAAGGGAAUUCCAUAUGGUCCAUUACCAGCCUCCGCAUAUGCCAAACUUUGUGCAGAACCUUCGCAGAAUGAAAGCAACGUUGGCAUAGCGACAAGAGCAAAAAGAUCUUUUCAACAAAAUGUUUUGACCACAGAUAAACUCAGAGGCAAUACCGACAACCCCAGCGUUAAUGGAGGCCCAGCUUUAGUUGCUGUUUCGGUCGCAGGCACAACAUCUGCAGCCGUUAGCCAAGCUAAUAGCAUUCUGAGCAAUCAUCAUUUGGAAUCCAAUGCUCGGCCAAUGUCAAGGAAUACCAUGGUAGCUAUACCAGUAGAUGUGGCUGCCACCUCACGUUCAACAGAUUCUUUGGGAGGUACCAUGAUGUCCAGCGUUCCGGUGCCACCACUGACAGCUGUCUCAAAAACCGUACCAUCUGCCAACAAUGCUUACCAGUCAGUUGCCCGCAAUGCCGCAGUUACCCUAACAGUAUCUGGGACAUCGGGAAGUCUAUCAAGUCCUACUGUGCUGGGAACAAAAGCCCCUGUGGUUAUUUCACCAUUAGCAUCAACGGCAACAGCUUCGUCAUCUGCUACGACGAGUAUAGCAAGAAAUUCUCCAGUAAACAUAGUUUCAACAACCAUCCCUCCCGCCUCUACUGCGACAACUUCAUUGGUAACAACCAGCUCAACUUCCAUGCCGCCUAUUCCACCUUUGUCACUUUCAACUCCUCCUCCUUUGGCCGGUCUCUCGGGUAUCAGCUUGAGUAACUCCGUGCUGAAUGGCGCUGGCAUAGCAGCAGAGACAAUUCCCACGCCCAGCGGCAGCAUUAAUCCCAACACCCUACCAUUGUCUGCUGAAGCACAAACACAGACACAGACACAGUUAGCUGAAAGUAUUAGCCGGGUUCUGCCCAAAUUGGCUCCGCGACCCAAAUCCCUUUUGCAAACGGAACUACGUCCUGCGUUUCCCGCACAGGCAGGUCCUGUGUGCAAUCGCCUUUAUCAAAACGCAUUUAAGAUAACGGACUUCUUCAUGACAGCCAUCGAGGAGACCAUGGCUGAUUUGGCUCAAGGGGACGAGGUUAGUUUGCAAGCCAAAUUAGCUUUGGUAACCAUGGAAUUGGAACGCGCCAAAUCCGCCCAGGAGGAUAUGCGUAAAUCCAUGGAGGCCGAAAAACAACGGGUGGUGAAUGAGACUCGCAAACAAUGCCAAGGCGAAUGGAAACAGCGUGAGGCAGAAUGGAAACAAAAAGAAAUUGACUGGAAACUACGCGAGGUUGAGUGGAAGCGUUUGGUUGAGGACACCAAACGCAAACAGUGGUGUGCCCAAUGUGGUAACGAGGCCAACUUCUAUUGCUGUUGGAAUACAUCGUACUGUGAUUAUCCUUGUCAGCAGUUGCACUGGGCACGACAUGCUACCAAUUGUGCUCAGACUAGACCAUCCAGUACCCCAGAUGCCAGUAACACCAAUAGAUCCGCAACUACAACAACCACAACGCCAAUACAAAAAACCACAUCUCAAUCUCAAGAGCGCCUGCACAUUGUGAAAUCGAAUCAAUCAUCAUUACCUGCCAAUAUUCAUACAAAAUCAUCUCCAUCGCCAUCAUCCUCAGUUGCAAUGUUAAAAAAAGAAAAAACUGCGAAAAAUGCUUCCACGGUACAACCAAGUUCGGCAUCUUCGUCCACAUCGCGCUCAGCUGAAGUCUUAAAAUUGCCCCCAACUACAUAUAUCAGACAGAUCAACACUGCCUCAUUGGGUAGUGGCCAAUUGCGCUGUAAUACAACCUACAGCAUACCCGUCGUUCAACGGGUAAAAAUCACCACAAAACAACAAUUUAAGAUGUUAGUAGAGAAAAUGGAGAUGUACCCAAAUAUAGCUCGUGGUAUACGAGUAUUUGGCGAAAGCCGAGCCACUGUGGAUGAAGUGUGGAAAGAGAUUGCAGAGUAUUUAAACAGCUGUGGCCCACCAACACGCACUCCCGAUGAAUGGCAGAGAGUGUGGAUCCAUUUUAAAGCAAAACUAAAAAAGAAAUUAACCCAACCUAGAGUAAACCCUGACAACACUGAUGAAGAUGGGCCAUUGCUAGAGGUGACCUUGUCGCCAUUGGAGAAGGCAGUAGCGGAUUUAUUGCAUGCCCAUUUAGUUCCAGUAGAAGAUCUUAAAAACGAGUCAUAUAUUGACGCGGGGCAGCUAAAAGUUGACCAAAGAUAUCAAGGAAUGGAAUAGUACGCCAUAUUCUAAGAAGGAACAAACGGCCACUCAAAGCGAACUUGCGGUUCCCCAUACCCACCACCACAUGCAAUACAUCGACUCCUUCACAGACUUUUACAAUUCUGCAUCAGGGCAACAAUUGGGUCAUGAGUAG